GUAAACACGUGAGCAAACCCUGCCCCCUCGACUCUGGGAUAAGCGCUGGAAACGGCGUCUAAUACUGGAUACGAACCACGAAGGCAUCUUCAGUGGUUGGAAAGAAUUUCGGUUGGGGAUGGGCUCGCGGCCUAUCAGCUUGUUGGUGAGGUAAUGGCUCACCAAGGCGUCGACGGGUAGCCGGCCUGAGAGGGUGACCGGCCACACUGGGACUGAGACACGGCCCAGACUCCUACGGGAGGCAGCAGUGGGGAAUAUUGCACAAUGGGCGCAAGCCUGAUGCAGCAACGCCGCGUGAGGGAUGACGGCCUUCGGGUUGUAAACCUCUUUUAGCAGGGAAGAAGCGAAAGUGACGGUACCUGCAGAAAAAGCGCCGGCUAACUACGUGC
rnacentral:rRNA from 1 species